rnacentral:lncRNA from 1 species
UUUUUUUUUUUUUUAGAAUGUGCGAGUAAUUUCACUAUAUAAAAAAUAUUGAAAAGACAUAAACAACCCUAAACUAUAAUUUUUUUUUCUGCUUUUAAAGGCAAUAAAAUAACUUCAUUGUUCUUCCGCAUACAUCCAGGAUAGGCGCAGGGAGAAACGAUCCACGAUCCUCAAUGCGGAAAUACAAUUCAUGUACGGCAUAAAAAACCAAGACCAAUUUCAGAAAAGAAAGAAGAAUAAAAACCCAAUAGACAAGCAUCUAAUUAAAUAUGUAAUAUAACAACAGCCACAAGACCACUCACAGAAGAUAAGACACAUGGAAAUGCUGCCCAUAUAUGUAGCGAAACAACUAUACGAGUCCCGUAUUCAUCCAUUUUUGAACCCAGUAACCUAAUUAGAGGGGGUGAAAAAAAGAGAGAGGAGGAUUCUAAGCAAUACUGGGUAAAAGUUUUACUUCACAAAAAAAACACAGCUAGCAAAUUUGUGUCAGAACUUAUCAGCCACGGGAAAACCCUCUAAUCCCUUUUCUUAUCCUUCAAUGGCCCCCUAGGAAUCUUACUUAGAACCUUGGCAUCGAAAACUGC